UCUAAGAACACGUUUGAACGCUGUACAAGGCACAUACGUGAACCUUGUACCACAUGCACAGCUUUCAAACAUGCUCUUAUA
rnacentral:miRNA from 1 species